rnacentral:rRNA from 1 species
CCUACGGGUGGCAGCAGUGGGGAAUAUUGGGCAAUGGGCGCAAGCCUGACCCAGCAACGCCGCGUGAAGGAAGAAGGCUCUCGGGUUGUAAACUUCUUUUAUCAGGGACGAAGAAAGUGACGGUACCUGAUGAAUAAGCCACGGCUAACUACGUGCCAGCAGCCGCGGUAAUACGUAGGUGGCAAGCGUUAUCCGGAUUUACUGGGUGUAAAGGGGGAGUAGGCGGGAAAGCAAGUCAGAUGUGAAAACCGUGGGCUCAACCUGUGGCCUGCACUUGAAACUGUUUGUCUUGAGUACUGGAGAGGCAGACGGAAUUCCUAGUGUAGCGGUGAAAUGCGUAGAUAUUAGGAGGAACACCAGUGGCGAAGGCGGUCUGCUGGACAGCAACUGACGCUGAGGCGCGAAAGCGUGGGGAGCAAACAGGAUUAGAUACCCGAGUAGUC